ensembl:lncRNA
UCGAGAGGGGUCUGGCUGCAGACAUCCACCCACACGCUCCAAACAUCCACCCACAGGCACUUCCGCUGCAGACAGAAACAUCCACCCACACGCCGGAAAUUGCGUGCUGGUGGAUGUCUGGAGCGCGAUUUGCACAUUAUUCAACAGCGCCCCCUCGGGUCACACUUUUCGGUGGGUCGCAGAAUUCGGUGUAACAACGGGACUCACUGCUCGAAGAUGUGACGUUCGGCUCAGCUGCACUUGGAGGUUAUGGGGCCACUUUACAACAUUGUGGCUGGAGUUGCCUGGCUGCGUCAGAAUGCAGGUUUGCUCAAGGGGAAGGUGGUCGAGCCUGCAUUUCCGAAUAUGAACGCAAAAGAACAGCAGGAGCUCCUGGAAAGGAUACGUUCUUCAAGUGAUGAAGAAGAAAAGUACCCCCUGCUCUUCACAUUUGACUUUCAGGAAGACAUGGAGGUCUUCCUUAACAUGGCAGCUGAGGAGGAUCUUCGGGUCAACGCCAUGUUUCUGGGUCACUGGGUGGACAGCCAGUGACAUUGCUGUGUGUGUGUGUGUGUGUGUGUGUGUGUGUGUGUGUGUGUGUGUGUGUGUGUGUGUGUGUGUGUGUGUGUGUUGAGGUUCUGAGUUCAGUUAUCUGUUGAGUGUUCUUAAUAAAGUGUUAUAACGUUUACAAUGUAUUGAUUUUU